rnacentral:rRNA from 1 species
AGAGUUUGAUCCUGGCUCAGGACGAACGCUGGCGGCACGCUUAACACAUGCAAGUCGAACGAGAGAAGAGGAGCUUGCUUUUCUGAUCUAGUGGCGGACGGGUGAGUAACACGUGAGCAAUCUGCCUUUCAGAGGGGGAUACCGAUUGGAAACGAUCGUUAAUACCGCAUAACAUAAUUGAACCGCAUGAUUUGAUUAUCAAAGAUUUAUCGCUGAAAGAUGAGCUCGCGUCUGAUUAGCUAGUUGGUAAGGUAACGGCUUACCAAGGCGACGAUCAGUAGCCGGACUGAGAGGUUGAUCGGCCACAUUGGGACUGAGACACGGCCCAGACUCCUACGGGAGGCAGCAGUGGGGAAUAUUGCACAAUGGAGGAAACUCUGAUGCAGCGAUGCCGCGUGAGGGAAGAAGGUUUUAGGAUUGUAAACCUCUGUCUUCAGGGACGAAAAAAGACGGUACCUGAGGAGGAAGCUCCGGCUAACUACGUGCCAGCAGCCGCGGUAAUACGUAGGGAGCGUGCGUUGUCCGGAAUUACUGGGUGUAAAGGGAGCGUAGGCGGGAUCGCAAGUCAGAUGUGAAAACUAUGGGCUUAACCCAUAAACUGCAUUUGAAACUGUGGUUCUUGAGUGAAGUAGAGGUAAGCGGAAUCCCUAGUGUAGCGGUGAGAUGCGUAGAUAUUAGGAGGAACAUCAGUGGCGAAGGCGGCUUACUGGGCUUUAACUGACGCUGAGGCUCGAAAGCGUGGGGAGCAAACAGGAUUAGAUACCCUGGUAGUCCACGCCGUAAACGAUGAUUACUAGGUGUGGGGGGACUGACCCCUUCCGUGCCGCAGCAAACGCAAUAAGUAAUCCACCUGGGGAGUACGACCGCAAGGUUGAAACUCAAAGGAAUUGACGGGGGCCCGCACAAGCAGUGGAGUAUGUGGAUUAAUUCGAAGCAACGCGAAGAACCUUACCAGGUCUUGACAUCGUAUGCAUAGCUCAGAGAUGAGUGAAAUCUCUUCGGAGACAUAUAGACAGGUGGUGCAUGGUUGUCGUCAGCUCGUGUCGUGAGAUGUUGGGUUAAGUCCCGCAACGAGCGCAACCCUUACUGUUAGUUGCUACGCAAGAGCACUCUAGCAGGACUGCCGUUGACAAAACGGAGGAAGGUGGGGAUGACGUCAAAUCAUCAUGCCCCUUAUGACCUGGGCCUCACACGUACUACAAUGGCUGUCAACAGAGGGAAGCAAAGCCGCGAGGUGGAGCGAACCCCUAAAAGCAGUCUUAGUUCGGAUUGUAGGCUGCAACCCGCCUACAUGAAGUCGGAAUUGCUAGUAAUCGCAGAUCAGCAUGCUGCGGUGAAUACGUUCCCGGGCCUUGUACACACCGCCCGUCACGCCAUGGGAGUCGGUAACACCCGAAGCCUGUAGUCUAACCGCAAGGAGGACGCAGUCGAAGGUGGGAUUGAUGACUGGGGUGAAGUCGUAACAAGGUA